UACGGAGGGUGCGAGCGUUGUCCGGAAUCAUUGGGCGUAAAGGGCGCGUAGGUGGCGGGACAAGCGUGCGGUGAAAGCUCGGGGCUCAACCCCGAGUCGGCCGUGCGAACUGUCUUGCUUGAGCACUGUAGAGGCAGGCGGGAUUCCGGGUGUAGCGGUGGAAUGCGUAGAGAUCCGGAAGAACACCGGUGGCGAAGGCGGCCUGCUGGGCAGUUGCUGACACUGAUGCGCGACAGCGUGGGGAGCAAACAGG
rnacentral:rRNA from 1 species